rnacentral:rRNA from 1 species
CAGCCGCCGCGGGAACACGAAGGGUGCAAGCGUUAAUCGGAAUUACUGGGCGUAGAGCGUGCGUAGGCGGUGAGUUAAGUCUGCUGUGAAAUCCCCGGGCUCAACCUGGGAAUGGCAGUGGAUACUGGCUCGCUAGAGUGUGUCAGAGGAUGGUGGAAUUCCCGGUGUAGCGGUGAAAUGCGUAGAGAUCGGGAGGAACAUCAGUGGCGAAGGCGGCCAUCUGGGACAACACUGACGCUGAGGCACGAAAGCGUGGGGAGCAAACAGGAUUAGAUACCCCGGUAGUCCCUGUCUCUUAUAC